CCUACGGUUGGCUGCAGUGGGGAAUAUUGGACAAUGGGCGAAAGCCUGAUCCAGCCAUGCCGCGUGUGUGAAGAAGGCCUUCGGGUUGUAAAGCACUUUCAGUGGGGAAGAAAGCCUUGGGGCUAAUACCCUCGAGGAAGGACAUCACCCACAGAAGAAGCACCGGCUAACUCCGUGCCAGCAGCCGCGGUAAUACGGAGGGUGCGAGCGUUAAUCGGAAUUACUGGGCGUAAAGCGCGCGUAGGCGGUCUGAUAAGCCGGUUGUGAAAGCCCCGGGCUCAACCUGGGAACGGCAUCCGGAACUGUCAGGCUAGAGUGCAGGAGAGGAAGGUAGAAUUCCCGGUGUAGCGGUGAAAUGCGUAGAGAUCGGGAGGAAUACCAGUGGCGAAGGCGGCCUUCUGGACUGAAACUGACGCUGAGGUGCGAAAGCGUGGGUAGCAAACAGGAUUAGAUACCCGAGUAGU
rnacentral:rRNA from 1 species